rnacentral:rRNA from 1 species
GACGAACCGUCCAAACGUUAUUCGGAAUCACUGGGCUUACAGAGUUCGUAGGCGGUCUGGAAAGUUGGGUGUGAAAUCCCUCGGCUCAACCGAGGAACUGCGCUUGAAACUACCAGACUCGAGGGAGAUAGAGGAAAGCGGAACUGAUGGUGGAGCGGUGAAAUGCGUUGAUAUCAUCAGGAACACCGGUGGCGAAGGCGGCUUUCUGGGUCUUACCUGACGCUGAGGAACGAAAGCCGGGGGAGCGAACGGG